CCUACGGGAGGCAGCAGUGAGGAAUAUUGGUCAAUGGGCGCGAGCCUGAACCAGCCAAGUCGCGUGAAGGCUGACUGCCCUACGGGUUGUACACUUCUUUUAUAAAGGAAUCAAGUGAGGCACGUGUGCCUUUUUGUAUGUACUUUAUGAAUAAGGAUCGGCUAACUCCGGGCCAGCAGCCGCGUUACUACGGAGGAUCCGAGCGUUAUCCGGAUUUAUUGGGUUUAAAGGGAGCGUAGAUGGGUUGUUAAGUCAGUUGUGAAAGUUUGCGGCGCAACCGUAAAAUUGCAAUUGAUACUGGCAGCCUUGAGUACAGUUGAGGUAGGCGGAAUUCGUGGUGUAGCGGUGAAAUGCUUAGAUAUCACGAAGAACUCCGAUUGCGAAGGCAGCUUACUAAACUGCCACUGACAUUGAUGCUCGAAAGUGUGGGUAUCAAACAGGAUUAGAUACCCUUGUAGUC
rnacentral:rRNA from 1 species